rnacentral:misc_RNA from 1 species
AGAUCAUGAACAGCUUAAAUUAAAUCAUUCACGCGCCAGUUUGAAGAUCAUCAUAUUGUCGUUUGCAAUUACAAUUCCCUGACCGCCGCCACCGUCGUCCUUGUCGUUCACAACCUCGGAACCAUCGCCGUCGCUAUUUAGAUUGAACUUCAUUGUAGUUGACCACUUUGAAGAAAUAGCUGUCGCUGCUUAGAUUGGACUGAAGGGAAGUAAGAAGCCCUAAAUACCUGCCCACUCCUAUCCCCUGCUUCUUUCUCAGACCCAAAGGAAUUGGCUGAUUUAAACGCGUCAGUUCGGGAGAGAUUCAAUAAUUUACCCGAUUUUAAUCCAAUAAAUUGAGCAAGCUCCAUCAAUGGCGGGUAUCAACAUUGCCUACCUCUGGCUUGUUGUUCUCUUUAGCUUCCCCCUCUGUCUCCUUGCUCUCCUAGUUCUAAUUGUUAGGCCCCGCCCUGUCAAGAUUCCUAUAAAAAACCGCCAUGUGUUCAUCACUGGUGGAUCAAGUGGAAUUGGGUUGGCUUUGGCUCAUCAAGUCGCAUUGGAAGGGGCUCAAGUGUCCAUCCUAGCCCGUUCCCUCGAAAAGCUCAAGGAAGCAAAGCACAUGAUCCAGCUUUCCACUGGUGUUGAUGUGGCAAUUUUUGCAGCAGAUGUGAGGGAUUUUGACUCCAUACAAAAGGUGGUGGCUGAGGCAGGCCCUAUUGAUGUUUUGGUGGUGAAUCAAGGUGUUUUUCUGCCUCAAGAGCUAGAGAAGCAGGAAUUGGAUGAGGUCAGGUUCAUGAUAGAUGUGAACUUGAUGGGAAGUUUUAACAUGAUUAAAGCUGCUUUGCCCGGAAUGAAGACUAGGAAUGGGCGUGGGCCUGCCUCUAUUGCUCUCAUGUCAUCUCAGGCUGGUCAGGUGGGCAUAUAUGGUUACACUGCUUAUUCAGCUAGUAAGUUUGGCCUUCGGGGUUUAGCAGAAGCAUUACAACAGGAGGUCAUUGCAGAUGACAUCCAUGUCUCCCUUAUAUUCCCUCCUGACACAGAGACUCCUGGUCUUGCUGAAGAAAACAAAAGAAGGCCACAACUCACAAGUAUCAUUGCUGCCUCCUCUGGUGCAAUGAAAGCAGAUGAAGUUGCCAAAAAAGCUUUAGAUGGCAUCAAAUCUGGUAGUUUUGUUGUCCCAUGCAACAUUGAGGGAUCCUUAUUGGCCAUAGCAACUGCUGGUUUAUCCCCACAAAGAUCAUUCUUAAUGGCAUUUGUUGAGGUGGUUGCUGCUGGUCUAAUACGUUUAAUUGCUCUUUGUUUCCAGUGGAAUUGGUAUGGAAGUAUAGAAAAGUGGCACGCACAAAAGAAAUAGCAAGCAUUCAGUAUCACCCUCAUGUAAUUUCUUUUUUGUGUGAUGAAUAGAGCGCCUGGUUCGUCAGAUGGUGUUAACCUUUUGUGUU